AGGGGCGGUGGGAUCCUGGGCUGUGUCCCCAGCGCCCUGUGCUCUGGGGCCUGCUCUGUUGGAUUCGCGCUGCCGGGCAGCCCCCU
rnacentral:pre_miRNA from 1 species